UGGGGCGUCGUCAAAUGGCAAGACACAGGGUUUUGGUCCCUGCAUUUGGAGGUUCGAAUCCUCCCGCCCCAGCCA
rnacentral:tRNA from 1 species